rnacentral:rRNA from 1 species
AAUAAUGCAUACGGUGGAUGCCUUGGUCGAAAGUACCGAUGAAGGACGUAACAAGCUGCGAUAAGCUUUGGGGAGCUGCUAAUAAGCUUUGAUCCAGAGAUUUCCGAAUAAAGUAAUUACCCCGCCUCGGCGGGGGAUCCCUACAUGAAUACAUAGUGUCGGGAGGGGUACGCGCCGAACUGAAACAUCUAAGUAAGCGCAGGAAAAUAAAUCAACAGAGAUUCCCCCAGUAGCGGCGAGCGAAAAGGGAGGAGCCCAAACCCUUCGAGUAAUCGAAGGGGGUUGUAGGAAUCCAAUAUCUGACCUUUAAUGGUAGCUAAAUACACUGGAAAGUGUAACCAAAGAGAGUGAGAGUCUCGUAAGCGAAACCAAAAAAGGCGGUAGGAUCACCUGAGUAGCACAGGACACGUGUAAUCCUGUGUGAAUCCAGCAAGACCACUUGCUAAGGCUAAAUAUACUUUCGGACCGAUAGUGAACUAGUACCGCGAGGGAAAGGUGAAAAGAAGAGCGAAACGCUCAGUGAAAUAGUACCUGAAACCGUAUGUUGACAAGCAGUGGAAGUGUGCGUUGCGCAUAGGAUAUAAGGAGAAGGAUAGAAGUGAUCAGUCAAAAUUGACUAAUCAUUACUUCCUAUGAUCCUUCUAUCUUGCGCGCAGCGCAUACGACCGCGUGCCUAUUGAAGAAUGAACCGGUGAGUUACCGCAUCCCUUUUGCUUAAGCCAUUUUGUGGCGGAAGCGUAGUGAAAGCGAGGGUUAAUAGCCCGAUUUAAAGGAUGCGAUAGACCCGAAACCGAGUGAGCUAUCCAUGUCCAGGGUGAACUCCGACGAAAGUCGGAGGGAGGCCCGAACCCGUUGUUGUAUCAAUAACUUGGGAUGAGAUGUGGUUAGAGGUGAUAUGCCUAACGAACUCGGAGAUAGCUG